rnacentral:rRNA from 1 species
CCUACGGGGCGCUGCAGUGAGGAAUAUUGGUCAAUGGUCGGGAGACUGAACCAGCCAAGCCGCGUGAGGGAUGAAGGUACAGAGUAUCGUAAAUCUCUUUUGUCAGGGAACAAAGGCGGGGACGUGUCCCCGGAUGCGUGUACCUGAAGAAAAAGCAUCGGCUAACUCCGUGCCAGCAGCCGCGGUAAUACGGAGGAUGCGAGCGUUAUCCGGAUUUAUUGGGUUUAAAGGGUGCGCAGGCGGUCUGUUAAGUCAGCGGUCAAAGCCCGGGGCUCAACCCCGGCCCGCCGUUGAAACUGGCAGUCUCGAGUUGGAGAGAAGUAUGCGGAAUGCGCGGUGUAGCGGUGAAAUGCAUAGAUAUCGCGCAGAACUCCGAUUGCGAAGGCAGCAUGCCGGCUCCACACUGACGCUGAGGCACGAAAGCGUGGGUAUCGAACAGGAUUAGAUACCCGAGUAGUC